AAGAUUUUAGAUCCAUUUCUAGAGUAAAAUAAAUCAGAUUAUGCAAUUAAAUUCAUUGUGAAAAUAAUUUUUUUAAAUGAUGCGUUUUUUAUUAUACGACAUAAGAAAGUACGAUGACUAUCGGAACCAUCAAAACAACUGAAAUAAAUAUUUUUUCAACAACAACUUUAAGUAAAAUGAUUAAAAAUAACCCAACGAGCAUAUAAGGUAAUUUCAACGUUGUAAUUAGGAUAACAUAUGGUUGAAGAAUAACGAUCUAAAAAUCAACAUUAUUUCCACUUAAGUGCAACGUUUAAAAUGAACGUUAGAAACUUCAACUUUUUUUCAACGUUUAUUUUUAAAUUUUUUUAAACGUUGAGAAGAAUUGAAAUUUGCCGACGCAAAUACAUUAAUAAUACAAGCAUGGCAGUAUCGGUUCUGAUCGAGGAAAUUUACGCUUGUAUAAGACGCGAUGAAACCAGUCGCCAACUUGGUUGACCUAAACCAUUUUUACGUUUUGCACGGUGCGAUUUAUUAGAAAAAUUUGCUGAAACCAAAUUAAAAAAUUGCAAGAAAUGGUUGAAUAAUUCGCCAGUUAUAUUUUCCAUGUUAUAUUAUGCUGCAAAGUAUUGUUUACUAGCUGUUUAUUUCAAAAUAUACUGAAUUAGACAUUCAGAUAGUGAUAUUUCAACACAAAAUUGAAAGAUACUAUAUACUAUAUUUUACAUAUUAAAACAUACUAUAUUUUACACAGUGAGAAUGUUUUUGUCAAAAUAAAAACAAAUAUUUGUUUACCAAUUAAAUCAUUGCCAAACAGUUUGUAUGUUAGCAUCCCAAAAAAUUGUUGAAAAGUGAUUUCUGUGAUCGAGUCAUUUAUUUCUGAUACCAACUUUUUUUAAUUUUACAAAUAAUAAUAGAGGAAAAACAUAUUUGGUGAUGUAACACUUGCAAAAAGACGAAGUCAAUUCGAGCAGGAUUUUUUGAAAGCUCUACAUCUUUAAAUGUAAGUCUGAUACUUCAAUUAAUGUUUUUAUGGAUCCUGGAGGUUCCUGUAACCGCUGCAUCUGAGGUAGUAAGUGUAAACGAAAAAACCUUAAUUCAGUGGAGCAACAACAAAUCAUGUUGAGUCGUUUUGGUGUCGGAUGAAACGAAGGUUAAAGUAUGUUUUUGAAUCACAGGGUGAUUUAAAGUUGAAGCUGUAUACAAAGAAUAUUAUGAUUUUUAUAAUAAAAAUGUUUGGAAAAA